UUCCUCGUACCAACAAAAAGAAAUGGUUAAUGAUACAAUCAACCAAUGAAUUAAAUUAGGACCUAAUUAUUCCAUCGAUAGGAUUCACCCAGUCGAAGUAUCUAAGAACUUCGAAUUUAAGUAAGAAUAUUAUUGAAUCAUCAGAACUACUUCGAUAUCUCUUUUUCGAUUUCUAUUCACAAAGUUUUUGUGAAUCCAUAGACCUUUAGUUCUUCCAUUACUCGAACUGUUAUUUCAAUUCUUACGUCUUUUCUUGAUUUCAUCAGCCAAUUUACAGCCACAACGAUAUGAAAGGACUUUUAUUGGAACCCCACACGCAGUGGUGGGGCAAAUGAAAUUUUUCUUUAGUUCAUAUACAACUAGCAAUAUCUAAUAUCACAUAUACAUGUCUUUCUUCCAUGACGUAAACCAUUAGAUUCAAUCGGAUUUGGGAAUCAAUCCGUUUUUUUAGGAAUCUCGUUUGGUUUAUCAUUAUUCCAGCGGAAUACAAUCUAAAUGGGCAAAUUAAAUUGAUUAGCGAGAAUUAGUGCAUAGAAAAAGAUUAUUUUAUUGAUCUAAGUUCAGGCAAUUUAUUAUUUUUCAAUAUUUUGGUCAAUUGUUGAAUAAAAUCAACUCUAAAAUUGUAAAAUAAAGGAGAAUCCUUUAUCCUGUUUUUUAGUUAAUCACACACCCUAAACAUAUAUCUUAUUCAAAUUAUG
rnacentral:lncRNA from 1 species